rnacentral:misc_RNA from 1 species
UUAAAUUUUAGUUUCUGAUCAGACAGAAGGCUACGAUGCAUUUUGGUUCGACGCCCAGAGGCGCCAAAGCACUUUCAUGUCGCUUCCACGGGGUUUGAAGAAUGGAUGGGCCGAGGCCACAUUCAGAAAUGAUCCCUCCGCAGGUUCACCUACGGAGA